AGACGAGAGAGAAACAAAUUGGAUAAGUGAGGAAGGUGAAGUAGAGUUAGGCAAGGGUUUCUGAUUUUUUUUUUUCAAUUGGGGGCAAUAGUAGGGAUGACAGAGAAAAUGUUGGAGUGAGAGAGAUGAAAGAGAAAUGGUUGAGAGGAAUGAGGGAGUGAGUAAGGGUUUGGAGGUUUUUUUUUUUUUUUUGAGAAUGAAAAUUAUUUAAAUAUCUUUGACCUUAAAACUUAGAAUCCAUGAAUAUGAGGGUACUUUUGUCUGCUAUAAUCUGGUACGCGACAAACCCCGUAUAUAUAUAUAUAUAUGAGAAGUUUAAAAGUAUGAAAAUCAUUAUAUAUUCGUUUAUUUAUAAAAAAAUAUAAAAUAUUUACGACUUUAUGAUUAUACAUUGUAUUCUACUUAUGCUAUUAUCACGUAAGAGAAAAUUAAUACAUGAAACACGCCUUAACACAUGAAUGAUUCACCCAUCAAGGCGAGGC
rnacentral:lncRNA from 1 species